UACGUAGGGGGCGAGCGUUGUCCGGAUUCAUUGGGCGUAAAGCGCGCGUAGGCGGCUUGGCAAGUCGGCCGUGAAAUCUCCAGGCUCAACUUGGAGGGGUCGGGCGAGACUGCUGGGCUCGAGGUGGGCAGAGGGCAGUGGAAUUCCGGGUGUAGCGGUGGAAUGCGUAGAGAUCCGGAAGAACACCGGUGGCGAAGGCGGCCAUCUGGACGGUCACUGACACUGAGACGCGAAAGCGUGGGUAGCAAACAGG
rnacentral:rRNA from 1 species